CUUGGGGGUUGUGGCCUUGAACCGUGGCUUUGGGAGCUAACGCGUUAAGUAGGCCGCCUGGGGAGUACGGUCGCAAGAUUAAAACUCAAAUGAAUUGACGGGGGCCCGCACAAGCGGUGGAGCAUGUGGUUUAAUUAGAUGCAACGCGAAGAACCUUACCUACUCUUGACAUCUACAGAAGCCAGCGGAGACGCAGGUGUGCCUUCGGGAACUGUAAGACAGGUGCUGCAUGGCUGUCGUCAGCUCGUGUUGUGAAAUGUUGGGUUAAGUCCCGCAACGAGCGCAACCCUUAUCCUUGUUUGCCAGCACUUAAAGUGGGAACUCCAGGGAGACUGCCGGUGAGGAGCCGGAGGAAGGUGGGGACGACGUCAAGUCAUCAUGGCCCUUACGAGUAGGGCUACACACGUGCUACAAUGGCGCAUACAGAGGGCGGCCAACUUGCGAAAGUGAGCGAAUCCCAAAAAGUGCGUCGUAGUCCGGAUUGGAGUCUGCAACUCGACUCCAUGAAGUCGGAAUCGCUAGUAAUCGUGGAUCAGAAUACCACGGUGAAUACGUUCCCGGGCGGGGAACACACCGCCCGUCACACCAUGGGAGUGGGCUGCAAAAGAAGUGGGUAGUUUAACGGUCGGGAGGACGCUCACCACUUUGUGGUUCAUGUCUGGGGGGGAGUCGUAACAAGGUAACCG
rnacentral:rRNA from 1 species